rnacentral:rRNA from 1 species
GUAGGGAAUAUUGGGCAAUGGAGGCAACUCUGACCCAGCCAUGCCGCGUGAAGGAUGAAGGUCCUACGGAUUGUAAACUUCUUUUAUCAGGGAAGAAACCUCUAGAUUCAUCUGGAGCUGACGGUACCUGAGGAAUAAGCACCGGCUAACUCCGUGCCAGCAGCCGCGGUAAUACGGAGGGUGCAAGCGUUAUCCGGAUUCACUGGGUUUAAAGGGUGCGUAGGUGGAUCGAUAAGUCAGUGGUGAAAGCCCCGAGCUCAACUUGGGAAUUGCCAUUGAUACUGUUGAUCUUGAGUGCGGUUGAGGUAGACGGAAUAUGUCAUGUAGCGGUGAAAUGCUUAGAUAUGACAUAGAACACCAAUUGCGAAGGCAGUUUACCAAGCCGAUACUGACACUGAGGCACGAAAGCGUGGGGAUCAAACAGGAUUAGAUACCCCAGUAGUCC